rnacentral:rRNA from 1 species
AGUGAACGCUGGCGGUAGGCCUAACACAUGCAAGUCGAACGGCAGCACAGUAAGAGCUUGCUCUUACGGGUGGCGAGUGGCGGACGGGUGAGGAAUACAUCGGAAUCUACUUUUUCGUGGGGGAUAACGUAGGGAAACUUACGCUAAUACCGCAUACGACCUACGGGUGAAAGCAGGGGAUCUUCGGACCUUGCGCGAUUGAAUGAGCCGAUGUCGGAUUAGCUAGUUGGCGGGGUAAAGGCCCACCAAGGCGACGAUCCGUAGCGGGUCUGAGAGGAUGAGCAGGCAAACGGGAAGUGAGACACGGUCCAGACCCAUACGGGAGGCAGCAGUGGGGAAUAGUGGACAAUGGGCGAAGGCCUGAUCCAGCCAUGACGCGUGUGGGAAGAAGGGCUUCGGAUCGUAAAGCACGUUAAGGUGGGAGGAAGGGCAGUAAGUUAAUAACUUGCUGUGUUGACGGUACCAACAGAAUAAGCAACGGCUAACUUCGUG